rnacentral:lncRNA from 1 species
ACUUUUAUCUUAGGUUUAAAGCUCUUUAUACUUCCUUUUAAUUUGAAUUAUUUUGUCCUAUUUUUCUUUGAAAGGCAGAUGAGUUCCAGCACAGUUUGCCAGAUGUUUACAACAAAUUCAUCCACUCUGCAAAACAUUUGUCGUAUCAAGCUCUAGCAGAACUGCAUCAGACAUCAAACAAAAUUUGUCCUUUUGGAAAGAAGUAUGUGCAAGAUGCCCUACCUUAUUUUCGAAGUGUGGCUGCAGUCACAUUGAUGAAAGAUGUUUUGAUAAAUCAAAACGUCUCUGAUGUUGUCUUCAAUGAAUGGCUCUUUGCCCUCUCUAUUUUUCCAAGGCCAAAUGAUGAAAUUGUGUCAGUAGCUGUUCCGCUAAUGCAACAUUAUCCAGAAAACGAGGCUGUUCUAUUGAGUUUAACAUCCAUGAUUCACUCUUUCUGCAAGUGGAAUUUGUGUGAAAAUGAGCACAAUGUGAGCAUCAUUACGUCGCACCUACAAAACAUGGUUAAUUCAAGCAUUUUACAAGAAUCCUAUAGUACAGGGGUAAGUGAACAGUUCUUCAAUAAUUUUAAAGAAUUUUCUUUUAAACAAUUAAUCUUAUGGAGCCAUAACUUCUUAUUCGUAUGGAGCCAUGGUGAAAAGAC